rnacentral:tRNA from 1 species
UCCCCAGUGGCCUAGGAGUUAAGGACCCAGCACUGCCACUGCUGUGGCUCAGGUUCAAUUCCUGGCCCGGGAA